rfam:Stomoxys calcitrans breed 8C7A2A5H3J4 unplaced genomic scaffold Scaffold1168, whole genome shotgun sequence.
AAGACUAUACGUCACAGGGUCAUUUCUGUAGUCAGUCUUCAAUUACUUUCAUUGCAUGCAAGUAUAACUGUAUAAAAGCCACAGU